rnacentral:rRNA from 1 species
AUUGAACGCUGGCGGCAGGCCUAACACAUGCAAGUCGAGCGGAUGAAGGGAGCUUGCUCCUGGAUUCAGCGGCGGACGGGUGAGUAAUGCCUAGGAAUCUGCCUGGUAGUGGGGGAUAAUGUCCGGAAACGGGCGCUAAUACCGCAUACGUCCUGAGGGAGAAAGUGGGGGAUCUUCGGACCUCACGCUAUCAGAUGAGCCUAGGUCGGAUUAGCUAGUUGGUGGGGUAAAGGCCUACCAAGGCGACGAUCCGUAACUGGUCUGAGAGGAUGAUCAGUCACACUGGAACUGAGACACGGUCCAGACUCCUACGGGAGGCAGCAGUGGGGAAUAUUGGACAAUGGGCGAAAGCCUGAUCCAGCCAUGCCGCGUGUGUGAAGAAGGUCUUCGGAUUGUAAAGCACUUUAAGUUGGGAGGAAGGGCAGUAAGUUAAUACCUUGCUGUUUUGACGUUACCAACAGAAUAAGCACCGGCUAACUUCGUG